AGAGAGAAACAGAGAGAGAGAGAGAAACAGUCAUGGGUGAAGGUGGCUAUACAUCCUAACAGACAGAUGAUUCAGGCUGGCUGACAUAAUCACCACACCUCCCUGGAGGAACAGGACAAAGACAGGAAGCACAACUCAGAACUUCCUGUUCCUGUCUUCAAGGCCGUCUAGAGAAAUGAGAAAAGGAACGCCAGGGUCACGUUGAUCUACCUGCAUGCUAGCAACACCAGAGAGAGGGAACAAUGGGUUAAUCUGCCUGCCUGCUACCAACACCAGAGAGAGGGAACAAAGGGUUGAUCAAAGCUCUCUAUCCACUGGAGGACGUCCUCCGGAAGUUGUCAUAAUUACUGUGGUGGGAAGAGCUGACCAAUCAGAACUGAGGAGGAUUGUUACGGGGCCCAUGAGGAACACCUGACGCUCCGCUGACUUCUCUCUCCCGGAUGCUCUCCUGCCCAAACUGUCCCGUUGUCGGUUUCACCGCCUCUGAACCACCUUACCCCGAAUAGGAGUGUACCCAAUCCCAAUUUUAACUCCAUCUCCCUCUCU